AGUGAACGCUGGCGGUAGGCCUAACACAUGCAAGUCGAACGGCAGCACAGUAAGAGCUUGCUCUUACGGGUGGCGAGUGGCGGACGGGUGAGGAAUACAUCGGAAUCUACUUUUUCGUGGGGGAUAACGUAGGGAAACUUACGCUAAUACCGCAUACGACCUACGGGUGAAAGCAGGGGAUCUUCGGACCUUGCGUGAUUGAAUGAGCCGAUGUCGGAUUAGCUAGUUGGCGGGGUAAAGGCCCACCAAGGCGACGAUCCGUAGCUGGUCUGAGAGGAUGAUCAGCCACACUGGAACUGAGACACGGUCCAGACUCCUACGGGAGGCAGCAGUGGGGAAUAUUGGACAAUGGGCGCAAGCCUGAUCCAGCCAUACCGCGUGGGUGAAGAAGGCCUUCGGGUUGUAAAGCCCUUUUGUUGGGAAAGAAAAGCAGCAGGUUAAUACCCCGCUGUUCUGACGGGACCCAAAGAAUAAGCACCGGCUAACUCCGU
rnacentral:rRNA from 1 species